UACGAAGGGGGCUAGCGUUGCUCGGAAUCACUGGGCGUAAAGGGUGCGUAGGCGGGUCUUUAAGUCAGGGGUGAAAUCCUGGAGCUCAACUCCAGAACUGCCUUUGAUACUGAAGAUCUUGAGUUCGGGAGAGGUGAGUGGAACUGCGAGUGUAGAGGUGAAAUUCGUAGAUAUUCGCAAGAACACCAGUGGCGAAGGCGGCUCACUGGACCGGUACUGACGCUGAUGCGCGAAAGCGUGGGGAGCAAACAGGG
rnacentral:rRNA from 1 species